rnacentral:tRNA from 1 species
GCCUUCGUGGUGUAGUGGUCAGCACGCUGGGCGCGUAUUCAAGAGGUCCUGGUUCAAGUCCCGACGAAGGCG